CAGCAGUGGGGAAUAUUGCACAAUGGGCGCAAGCCUGAUGCAGCGACGCCGCGUGCGGGAUGGAGGCCUUCGGGUUGUAAACCGCUUUUGUUCAAGGGCAAGGCACGGUCUUUGGCCGUGUUGAGUGGAUUGUUCGAAUAAGCACCGGCUAACUACGUGCC
rnacentral:rRNA from 1 species